CCGACGGUGAGAGGUGAAAGCUGGGGGAGCAAACCGGAUUAGAUACCCGGGUAGUCCCAGCUGUAAACGAUGCGCGUUAGGUGUAUCAGUGACCACGAGUCACUGAGGUGCCGAAGAGAAAUCGUGAAACGUGCCGCCUGGGAAGUACGGUCGCAAGGCUGAAACUUAAAGGAAUUGGCGGGGGAGCACCACAACAGGUGGAGCCUGCGGUUUAAUCGGACUCAACGCCGGGAAACUCACCAGUUAAGACAGCUGAAUGAUAGUCGGGCUGAAGACUCUACUUGACUAGCUGAGAGGAGGUGCAUGGCCGUCGUCAGUUCGUACUGUGAAGCAUCCUGUUAAGUCAGGCAACGAGCGAGACCCACGCCAACAGUUGCU
rnacentral:rRNA from 1 species